GGAGAUCCAUUACUAAGCCCAUGAAUUUUUAAAGCCAAAUAUUUCACUAAUUCUAGCUUUUGGGAGGCAAAGUUAGGGUCUCAUCCAUCCUACGUUUGGUGAAGCAUAUGGGCUGCUCGAGAUUUUAUUGGAGAAGGGUUCUGGAUGGAGGGUUGGUAUUGGUUCUUCUAUUUCAAUUUGGAAUGAUUAUUGGCUCCUUUUUCAGCAGGUUGUUGUAUACAAGAAUCGAUUGUUAAUGACUCAAUUAGAAUUGUUUCAGGUCUCAUAAAUAUGGAGACAAGGACAUGGUAAGAGGAGAUUAUUACCAAUGUCUUUUAUCCGAAGGAAGCUGAUGCGAUUCUCUGCAUUCCUGUAUCACAACACAUAGGUGAGGAUAAGAUUGUUUGGCUGGGGCAUACUGGCGACUAUUCUGUCCGAAGUGGUUACCGUCUUCUUUUACAAUCUCAGCAACUAGAGACUUUUCCUAAUGAUUACAGGAAAUUUUACAAAAAACUUUGGCAAAUACAAGUGCCAUCCAAGAUCAAAAUUACAGUCUGGCGAAUUCUACACAAUUACAUCCCUACUAGAGCUAAUCUUUUUACAAGAAGAGUGAUUGCGUCUCCCAGUUGCCUCAGAUGUAAUAGAGAGGUUGAAACUAAUGCAGAUGCAAUGAUGGGUUGUGAAUCUACAAAAAUCAUAUGGAAAGUUUGGGUUUUAAUGGCCUAAAUAUUGCUGAUGUAGAGGAAUUAUGGGAAUGGUUCGCACAGAGACUAAAAAAUGAUCAACCAAUUACCUGUAGGUCUAUUCUGAUCACUGCUUGGGCAAUUUGGUUUGGGCGUAACAAACAAGUGAUGGAAGGAAAAGUUCUCUCUAUCCACGAUAUCAACAUCAAAAUUAGGAGUUUGGCAAAGGAUUAGAUCAAAAAAAUAACCCUUUACCUGGUUCUCAGCAAGAUCCUCGAGCGAACUGGAAUCCCUUAAACGAGAAUUUUAUUAAACUGAAUUUUGAUGUUGCAUACAAAGGAAAUUCAAGAACCUCUUGUUCAGGAUUUGUAAUCGGGAAUUCAAAUGGUCAAAUCAUGGGUAGUGGUUUUAAACAAAACAGGAACAUAUCUUAUGCCUUCUCGGCUGAGGCUCUCUCAUGUUUGCAGGGUCCAACUUUCGCAAAUGAUAUGGGGUUUAGUCGUCUGAUCGUGGAGAGUGAUGCUUGUACCAUUAUCUCCAGAAUAGAACGAGAUAGAGAAGAUAGAUCGAAGAUCGGGCCCUACAUCAAAGACAUAAAAGUUCUAUCUCAAGCUUUUAGAUCUAUCAAGUUCUGCUUUACUCCUAGAACUGCGAACAAAGCUUCCCACAUUAUGGCUCAAGAGGGAUUCAAAGGAGAAGAGGACACCUACUGGGUUGAGGAAGCUCCUGACGCUGUUAUGGCAGCAGUGGAGGAAGAUAGACGAUGGAUUGACCCCCUUGAUAAUCUGUCAUUUGAUGUUGCUGAUCUAUGGCUAAUGUUGUGUUCUAUGGAAAGCCACAUUAUUCUAGUCGUUUGCUGCUAAGAUUGGAGGAGAUUUUAGUGGAAUAUUAAGAGCCGAAGUUGUGUUGAAGAAAGGAAACAAUAUAUUGAUUGUAGCGUUGGACUACUUUAUUUUCUUUUAAUAAAAGCUUCGGUCUUAUCCUUCAGAAAAAGAAAAAAAAGAAAAAGUAAUCAUCAUCUAGUGAUGCAUUAUCCAUGCGGGUAGAAUUUUAUUAACGGUUUUAACACUAAAUAUCAUAGUAAAAUAUAUAUAGAUAGUUCAAAU
rnacentral:lncRNA from 1 species